AGCGAACGCUGGCGGCAGGCCUAACACAUGCAAGUCGAACGAACUCUUCGGAGUUAGUGGCGGACGGGGGAGUAACACGUGGGAACGUGCCUUUUGGUUCGGCAUAACUCAGGGAAACUUGUGCUAAUACCGAAUGUGCCCUUCGGGGGAAAGAUUUAUCGCCAUUAGAGCGGCCCGCGUCUGAUUAGCUAGUUGGUGAGGUAACGGCUCACCAAGGCGACGAUCAGUAGCUGGUCUGAGAGGAUGACCAGCCACACUGGGACUGAGACACGGCCCAGAAUCCUACGGGAAGGAGCAGUGGGGAAUCUUGCGCAAUGGGCGAAAGCCUGACGCAGCCAUGCCGCGUGAAUGAUGAAGGUCUUAGGAUUGUAAAAUUCUUUCACCGGGGACGAUAAUGACGGUACCCGGAGAAGAAGCCCCGGCUAACUUCGUG
rnacentral:rRNA from 1 species